CAGGCUGCCCCGCUCCGAAAGGAAUAAAAGAUUGCUGCCGCCGAUCGCUCAGGCACUGGCUACUGGCACCUGCUUGAGAGCAUGGGUUUAUUUGCGUGUAAUACAAUCUUUUUGCGUGGCCAUGUAACGCUUUCGAGCACUUUCGACACGUUUACAAACUCGUUCUGCCAACUCUUUUUUUUUUUUUUGCUGAAGAUCCGUUUCGGCGUCAUUCUUAAGCUUCCGUUACAUGCCGCCGCGAUUGUCGACGAGCCACCGCAAGCUAAGUAAGGGAAAGCGGACCAAUCGCAGAUGCCAGCACCACCCUCUUCACCCGGUUAUCGAUUUUCACUGCAGUGGCUCGGCCCCAUGGAAUGCCUCUACACUUGAGCGUGCUCCUGUCCUCUUGUGAGCCAAUUAAGUGGCCCAUGAACGUAGAAAGCGUUUGAUUGGUCUGUUGAGACAACCCUGCGGGUGACCGCCCGAUGCUUGCUUCGGCAGUUACGAAAAUUUGACGUCAGGAGAUUGGUACAAAAAACAUAUUGUAAUAAUUUUGCGCCUCGAGAUCGAACAGAGUCGGCUCCUAGCGGCGAGGUGACGAAGCUCCGAAGUGUGGAUGCCGGUGGCCCGUCGCCGCUCCAGCCGCAGUGUGCAGCGAUCGUAGUUCGCGAAAUCACGAUGGAUGUUGACGAGGACGGUUUGUUCGAUGCACCCUUGCCUCUAAGCACAAUUCUCAACCAUGUUAGGGACGGUGUCAGGUGCCUCGUCGAAGGCGACCAAGUCGUUGCGGCGGGCCACAUCAUUGAGUGUAGUGCCGUCGCUUCCACCUGCUGCUCUGACGGUCCUGUGCACGUUAUCGCAUUCGUGCUGCAGUCGUCCGCGCUCAGUAAAGACCCACACCGAGUCGACCUGAAUUUGACCGACGAGACAAAAAUAGCAGAAUUGAACUGCACAUGCCCUGCAGGCUGUAUUACCAGCUCAUCGUCAGUCCAGCCGCAUUAACCACAGCAAAGCCGUGUAACCUCCACCGGCGCGGACUACCUCUCAUCUACGAUCAUUUUUUGUGAAAACCGCCAGGGACUGGAACGGUCUGACUGCCGACAUCACGCACCACUCCGACACUCAUCACUUCAAGGCUGCUCUCGAAUCACUGUUUUGUUAAA